rnacentral:rRNA from 1 species
CCUACGGGAGGCAGCAGUGGGGAAUAUUGCACAAUGGGGGAAACCCUGAUGCAGCGACGCCGCGUGAGUGAAGAAGUAUUUCGGUAUGUAAAGCUCUAUCAGCAGGGAAGAACCCCACCCUCCGGGGUGGCUGACGGUACCUGACUAAGAAGCCCCGGCUAACUACGUGCCAGUAGCCGCGGUAAUACGUAGGGGGCAAGCGUUAUCCGGAUUUACUGGGUGUAAAGGGAUAGUAGGAGGCAAGGCAAGUAAGAUGUGAAAACCCGGGGCCCAACCCCGGGAGUGCAUUUGAAACUGUCUGGCUAGAGUGCAGGAGAGGUAAGUGGAAUGCCUAGGGUAGCGGGGAAAUGCAUAGAUAUUAGGAGGAACACCAGUGGCGAAGGCGGCUUACUGGACUGUAACUGACACUGAGGAUCGAAAGCGUGGGGAGCAAACAGGAUUAGAUACCCCAGUAGUC